rnacentral:misc_RNA from 1 species
GAUGAAGAACGUAGCGAAAUGCGAUAAGUAAUGUGAAUUGCAGAAUUCAGUGAAUCAUCGAAUCUUUGAACGCAAAUUGCGCCCGCCAGUAUUCUGGCGGGCAUGCCUGUCUGAGCGUCAUUUCAACCCUCAUGCCCCUAGGGCGUGGUGUUGGGGAUCGGCCAAAGCCCGCGAGGGACGGCCGGCCCCUAAAUCUAGUGGCGGACCCGUCGUGGCCUCCUCUGCGAAGUAGUGAUAUUCCGCAUCGGAGAGCGAUGAGCCCCUGCCGUUAAACCCCCAACUUUCCAAGGUUGACCUCAGAUCAGGUAGGAAUACCCGCUGAACUUAAGCAUAUCAAUAAGCGGAGGA